rnacentral:lncRNA from 1 species
UUUCAUUUUUUUUUUAAGAAUUACACUAAAGCCCUCCCCAUACCUAAAUCAUGCAUUGUCCUCAAUGUAUGCAAAAGAGAGAAUUGAAAUUAGAGAGUAAAGAGGAAAAAUACCUGAAUAGGAGAUGAAGGGGAUUUUUAUUAACUACUGAAGCAACUUACAUGAUCAAGGGUCGAUGAGGUGGAUGACCUCUUCCUCCGAAUCAACAAGCAAUUCUAAAAAUGGUUUAAGGCGUUGACCAUUAACUUUAAA